rnacentral:lncRNA from 1 species
CAGUAAGGACUGCGAUAUUAAUGUUUUAUUUGUUUUCAGCAUGUUCCUGAAUCGUGUAUUCACCACUUUAUCAUCAUUGCAUGAGAAGAUUCUCUGUACAGUGUUUCUUUAACCUGUAUGUCUCACCUUUUCAGUCAGCACAGUAUAAUCGAAUCCCAGGAGAUAUUUGACUGAAGGGUGGAUUUUAUUUAGUUACAACUUUGAAGUGGCUUGUUGGAGGAUUGACAGAUCAAGUUGUUGAUGAGAUAUAGGAUACUGAUAAUGAUAUGUUCCUAUUAAUUAAAAGAUUGACAAUUGUUGUAGACUAUCAUUUGUACACUAGUUUUUGUAAGCAUGUUUAUAUAUUUUGGCAUUUCAUCCUUUGUGGCCAAUUGAAGUUUUAAAAUCAGACCGGUGUAAAAAACAACAGUUCCUUUUCACCGAUGGCAUUGUGAAUAAUGAUAGGGUUUGUUGCCUGGAUUACCGCAAUCAUUGUGAAAAUGAAUCCAUUAAUUAAUGAAUUAAAUCAAAACACGUGAAAAUAGAAUCCCGAUCUUACAUCUUUAGAAGCUUCCAAUUUUUUUUAUUGAUUUUGACAGUCUCCAUUAACCAAUCUCUAAUCCAUCAACCAAUUUAGAUUGAAUUUGUUUGGAUUGAUUAGGGAUGUAACUGGGUAGGGUUUGAAUAGGGUACUGUAGUACUCGUCUCUGUUUAAAAAAAUAUGUAUAUUUGUCUCUGUAUCCUCUUGGGUAUCAAUUUUAAUACUCUACUCUUAUCUUCAAGGUAUCUAAGUGCUUGUACCUAUAUUUAUUAUUCACGCUUUAACUAAAAUAGAUAGAUAAAUAAAUGAUAUUGUUGUGAUUAAAUAUAAAAAUUAUUCAAAUAUUUUAAAUCCAAUCAUAAAGUGUUAUAAAUCAAAUAUUUUCUAACUCAACAUUUUAAAUAAACACUCUUACAUUACACAUUUUAAUAUUUAUAAUAAUAUUUUAUGAAGUUGUAAAUUUUAUAACAAUAUUAUUUGAUAUCUGUAAAAAUAAUUGAUAACAAGUUAUAAGUAUAAUUAUAAAGUCACACUAAAUAAGACAUAACUUUUAGUUAUAAAGUCACAAUUAUUUACAUAUUCAUCAUAAUCAAAUUCUUAAAAAGUUUAUAAACGUUUAUUUUUCGAUUAUAAAUAUUGUAGUAGUCUAAUGAUAUUAAUAUAAUAAAUAAAUAAUAUAUUUAUAUAAAUGCGGGGCGGGGUGGGUAUUAUAGUACCCGUACCCGCACCCAUACUCGAACCAACCACAAAUUUGGAUGGACCAAAUUCUGAAAGUCUGGCUGCUGCUAUCCUAAGGUGUGAAUGGAUAUGGAUGGUCUAGUUCGGACUAAACAAAUAGCUAUAAUGGUUUAUUUUAUUUUUAUGUUUAUUUACUGUUAUCUUCCUUGACAUGCAGGAUCAUGGAGGAUAGGAAAGGCCAGGAAAAUUUUCAGCUAAUUGUUAUUACUCAUGAUGAGCGUUUUGCUCAACUGAUUGGUCAGCGCCAGCAUGCGGAGAGAUAUUAUCGAGUCGCAAAAGAUGACCAGUAAGGACUGCGAUAUUAAUGUUUUAUUUGUUUUCAGCAUGUUCCUGAAUCGUGUAUUCACCACUUUAUCAUCAUUGCAUGAGAAGAUUCUCUGUACAGUGUUUCUUUAACCUGUAUGUCUCACCUUUUCAGUCAGCACAGUAUAAUCGAAUCCCAGGAGAUAUUUGACUGAAGGGUGGAUUUUAUUUAGUUACAACUUUGAAGUGGCUUGUUGGAGGA